AGUGAACGCUGGCGGUAGGCCUAACGCAUGCAAGUCGAACGGCAGCACAGUAAGAGCUUGCUCUUACGGGUGGCGAGUGGCGGACGGGUGAGGAAUACAUCGGAAUCUACUUUUUCGUGGGGGAUAACGUAGGGAAACUUACGCUAAUACCGCAUACGACCUACGGGUGAAAGCAGGGGAUCUUCGGACCUUGCGCGAUUGAAUGAGCCGAUGUCGGAUUAGCUAGUUGGCGGGGUAAAGGCCCACCAAGGCGACGAUCCGUAGCUGGUCUGAGAGGAUGAUCAGCCACACUGGAACUGAGACAAGGUCCAGACUCCUACAGGAGGCAGCAGUGGGGAAUAUUGGACAAUGGGCGCAAGCCUGAUCCAGCCAUACCGCGUGGGUGAAGAAGGCCUUCGGGUUGUAAAGCCCUUCUGUUGGGAAAGAAAAGCAGCAGGUUAAUACCCCGCUGUUCUGACGGUACCCAAAGAAUAAGCACCGGCUAACUUCGUG
rnacentral:rRNA from 1 species